rnacentral:rRNA from 1 species
UACGUAGGUGGCAAGCGUUGUCCGGAUUUACUGGGCGUAAAGAGCGCGCAGGCGGUCGUCCAAGUCGCGUGUGAAAGCCCCCGGCUCAACUGGGGAGGGUCACGCGAUACUGAUCGACUCGAAGGCAGGAGAGGGAAGUGGAAUUCCCGGUGUAGUGGUGAAAUGCGUAGAUAUCGGGAGGAACACCAGUGGCGAAGGCGACUUCCUGGCCUGUUCUUGACGCUGAGGCGCGAAAGCUAGGGAGCAAACGGG